rnacentral:lncRNA from 1 species
AUUUACAUUGUUGAUACCUGAUGGUUCAAUGCAAACAAACUAUGUUCAUACACAAAAUCAUUUAAAAUAUUGUCUAAACGAUUACUUUCAGGUUAUUUAUAUAAAAUGUAUAUGAAACAUAAAUGAGAUUACCAAGAUAUCUGAUUAUGUAUAUGCAAGUAUUCCAAACUCACAGCUCAAACCCCUUCUAAUCCCCAGCAUUUUGAAUGAGGGAUACUCCUUUAUUUUCUAACAAUAGUUUUCUUGACCUCAUUGACAUAAAGGGCAAAAAAAUCCAGUUUUCACUACAGUAUUAUGAGUAAGAGCAUGUUUAAACAAAGAGUUGUGUGUUUAUGAUGAUUUUUUAAUAUUCAGCACUGCAAAUAUAAUGAUGCAACAUGCUUACGUACACAUUCUUAACAAAACAGAUGAUGAUGUCAUAAUAUAUACUAAAGGGUUGAUAGGUUACCUUGACUCACCCGAUGUAAAAGUUUGAACAAGCUCCAAGUAGGCUUCAAUUUGGAUGCUAGAGAUGCUUAUGUUGUUUUAAAACCUCUGCUUCCUUGGAAAUUGAUAAUGGAACAUUGUGUUUAUGAAUUGCUUAUAGGAAUGAGACACCUGGUAAAUGAUACCAAGAAUGGGGAAAUACCCGGAGGCGAAAAGUUUCUUCCAAGAUGAUUUUUUUACUCCAUUGCAUUGGCUUAGCACAGUUGUUUUCCAAUGCAAUUGUUGGAGCUUACGACUUCAGUAGAUGCAACCAUUCAGCUAUCAAAGAGGGAUACAAGAAUCUGUUAAAGAACGAAAUGAUAGACGAUCCAAGCAAGGACACUAUAAGUUGCUGUCCAUUUUCACCUGCCCAAAGGUUCCUGGGUGAGAUGUUGGGCUGCAUCUACAACUUUACACAAAGAUACAUCACUCCACAGCAAAAAAACAUCUGGAAUCUCACAAUCAGCAUCCUGGAAGGCAACUGUCAGGACUACUCCCAGAAGAAUGGAAUGCAGAAUGUGAACGUCACUUUUCGUGUCUCCAGAAAAUGUGAUACCCAGGAACAAAGCAGGGACCAAUACAAUCAUGCCCUUAUGGAACUCAAUGAAAUGUGGAAGUAUUUCAUAUCCAGAUAACUUCAAAUUUGUACUCAGCAGCAACUAAAUGAUGCAACUGUGGCUGGAUGUACAUUGCCAAAUAAUGCAGUUCAAUGCAGUUCAAACUGCAUUAUAUGGGUCUACACUGACUAUAUAAUGCAGUUCAGACUGCAUUAUUUUGCUGUGCAGAUCCAGCCUGAGAGCCACCAUGGGUGGUUUGAGCUGAACUAGUACAAGCAAUCAAGCUUUAAGUCACACACUCUCACUCACAGAGAAAUGCAACCAUCUCUGAACAAAUCUUACUAAGAAAAUCCUGUGACAGGUUCACUUUGGAGUUACUAGAAGUCAGAAAUGACUUGAAGGCACAUGAGAAGAAAAAUUGUGUAAUUUUGUUAAAGAUUUGCUCAAGACAGGAAACUAUGAGUGGCUAGGAGGCUGUACCCGUACCGCAGGACACUAUUUUUUAAACAGUGGAUUCUGAUUGCAAAUGGGGUCCUCUUAGCUCAAUGUUGGAAUGGUUUCUGAAUCCCAUUUACACAAAUCUGUUAACUGCAAUUUGCAAUGUUUACAGUGUAGCAAAUGCUUCAGCUGUACUUUAUAAAAAGAAAAAUCAGCCUGUUUAGCAAGCCUUGCACAUGCUGAAUUUUAUCAGCAAAUGUUUGAUUUUUAUAACUAUUUUAUAUGCUCAAUGUCGCAUAAACAUUUCUUGGGCAAAAUGGGGUCACAAAACAACUUUCUCAGGUGGAAUGGGGUUGCAAAUGGAAAAGUUUAAGAAGCCCUUAGAAGCCGCACAUGUACACAUGCCUACUGCAAAACAGAACUUCCAAAAUGUCUCCUUAGCAUAUUUUUUGCCAUGUUUUAAAAGCCCUUUUUUGAAAACAAGAAGCGACUGAAAGAUUUUUCCUAGAAUGAUGGGUGGGAGUCUAAAAACAUGAGGAAACACCAUCACUGUUCCUAGGGGGCAUUUGGAAUAACAAUUUUACCAAAAUGUUUCUUUGAUGUUGUUUUUACUGGAGAUGAUCAUGAGGACCAGAAAAAUGGCCCUGGAGGCCAUAUGCCAACCCUGAUUUAUUUGUGUG